rnacentral:tRNA from 1 species
AUAUUUAAGUGUAGUUUGCAUUAAAAUUUUUGAUAUUUUAGGGUUUAGAUUAUUGUUCUAUUAAAUAUA